rnacentral:rRNA from 1 species
CGGAACGUGCCCGAUCGUGGGGGAUAACGGAGCGAAAGCUUUGCUAAUACCGCAUACGAUCUACGGAUGAAAGCAGGGGACCGCAAGGCCUUGCGCGGACGGAGCGGCCGAUGGCAGAUUAGGUAGUUGGUGGGAUAAAAGCUUACCAAGCCGACGAUCUGUAGCUGGUCUGAGAGGACGACCAGCCACACUGGGACUGAGACACGGCCCAGACUCCUACGGGAGGCAGCAGUGGGGAAUUUUGGACAAUGGGCGAAAGCCUGAUCCAGCCAUGCCGCGUGCAGGAUGAAGGCCUUCGGGUUGUAAACUGCUUUUGUACGGAACGAAAAGCCUCUUUCUAAUAAAGAGAGGUCAUGACGGUACCGUAAGAAUAAGCACCGGCUAACUACGUGCCAGCAGCCGCGGUAAUAUGUAGGGUGCAAGCGUUAAUCGGAAUUACUGGGCGUAAAGCGUGCGCAGGCGGUGAUGUAAGACAGAUGUGAAAUCCCCGGGCUCAACCUGGGAACUGCAUUUGUGACUGCAUCGCUGGAGUGCGGCAGAGGGGGAUGGAAUUCCGCGU